GUGGCAGACAGCAGCUAUCAGGUUGGUUGAGUUAGUGGCAGACAGCAGCUAUCAGGUUGGUUGAGUUAGUGGCAGACAGCAGCUAUCAGGUUGGUUGAGUUAGUGGCAGACAGCAGCUAUCAGGUUGGUUGAGUUAGUGGCAGACAGCAGCUAUCAGGUUGGUUGAGUUAGUGGCAGACAGCAGCUAUCAGGUUGGUUGAGUUAGUGGCAGACAGCAGCUAUCAGGUUGGUUGAGUUAGUGGCAGACAGCAGCUAUCAGGUUGGUUGAGUUAGUGGCAGACAGCAGCUAUCAGGUUGGUUGAGUUAGUGGCAGACAGCAGCUAUCAGGUUGGUUGAGUUAGUGGCAGACAGCAGCUAUCAGGUUGGUUGAGUUAGUGGCAGACAGCAGCUAUCAGGUUGGUUGAGUUAGUGGCAGACAGCAGCUAUCAGGUUGGUUGAGUUAGUGGCAGACAGCAGCUAUCAGGUUGGUUGAGUUAGUGGCAGACAGCAGCUAUCAGGUUGGUUGAGUUAGUGGCA